rnacentral:tRNA from 1 species
AAAAAAUUGGGAGGGAUAUUUGUAACUCAUGGUCAUGAAGAUCAUAUUGGUGCUAUCCCAUAUUUUUUA